AUUGAACGCUGGCGGCAUGCUUUACACAUGCAAGUCGAACGGUAACAGGCCUUCGGGUGCUGACGAGUGGCGCACGGGUGGGUAAUGCAUCGGAACGUACCCAGAGGUGGGGGAUAACGCAGCGAAAGCUGUGCUAAUACCGCAUGUGAUCUGAGGAUGAAAGCGGGGGACCGAGCAGCAAUGUUUGGCCUCGCGCCUUUGGAGCGGCCGAUGUCGGAUUAGCUAGUUGGUGGGGUAAAGGCCUACCAAGGCGACGAUCCGUAGCUGGUCUGAGAGGACGACCAGCCACACUGGGACUGAGACACGGCCCAGACUCCUACGGGAGGCAGCAGUGGGGAAUUUUGGACAAUGGGCGCAAGCCUGAUCCAGCAAUGCCGCGUGCGGGAAGAAGGCCUUCGGGUUGUAAACCGCUUUUGGCAGGAACGAAACGGUGUCCGCUAAUACCGGGCGCUAAUGACGGUACCUGCAGAAUAAGCACCGGCUAACUACGUG
rnacentral:rRNA from 1 species